rnacentral:tRNA from 1 species
GUCGGGAUAGGUCAGCUGGUAGACCAGAGGAUUGAAAAUCCUUGUGUCACCAGUUCAAAUCAGGUUCCUGGCA